UUUUUUUGUUAGCUUAGCAAAUGGAAAACUGUUGUGGAUGUCGAAAAUUUGAUAUUGUCACUCUCCAAUCAACCUUCAUUAACGACUUUAACGGUAUGGUGUGGCUUGUUCAGCUCUACCCCUGACCCCAAACACCCUACCAAAUUACCUUCCAAUUUAUAUGUUGUUCCGGAUUUCAAUUUCGAUCUCUAUUUUUCUUCUUAAACAAUGAGCUAUCCCCAUGUGGUGGAUUCUUAGAUUAAUCUACAAAACUGGGGUUUUCCCCUUGAAUAUGGUAUAUUUUUUGCCAUGAAAUAAUCUCCUGUUGGAUCAAUGGCGAAGAAAAGGAUUAUACCAAUUCAUGCCUUCAUUAUAUGGCUAUGCAAUAUCAAUGGCCAGCGACCCUCUCCUUCAUUGAUGAUCGCAUUCUCGCUAUUGUAAACAUCGUGAAACUCAUUUUCCCAGCAUCCAAACGUUUGUUCAACAAGAUUACGCUGCUGAAUUUUUGCCAAGAAAACGUCAACCGUGUUUUGAAGGCGCUUCCUG
rnacentral:lncRNA from 1 species